AGAGUUUGAUNCCNGCUCAGAACGAACGCUGGCGGCAGGCCUAACACAUGCAAGUCGAGCGCACUCUUCGGAGUGAGCGGCGGACGGGUUAGUAACGCGUGGGAAUAUGCCCUUCUCUAAGGAAUAGCCACUGGAAACGGUGAGUAAUACCUUAUACGCCCUUCGGGGGAAAGAUUUAUCGGAGAAGGAUUAGCCCGCGUAAGAUUAGAUAGUUGGUGGGGUAAUGGCCUACCAAGUCUACGAUCUUUAGCUGGUUUUAGAGGAUGAUCAGCAACACUGGGACUGAGACACGGCCCAGACUCCUACGGGAGGCAGCAGUGGGGAAUCUUGGACAAUGGGCGCAAGCCUGAUCCAGCCAUGCCGCGUGAGUGAUGAAGGCCUUAGGGUCGUAAAGCUCUUUCGCCAGAGAUGAUAAUGACANAUCUGNAAAGAACCCCGCA
rnacentral:rRNA from 1 species